UGGGGAAUAUUGGACAAUGGGGGGAACCCUGAUCCAGCAAUGCCGCGUGUGUGAAGAAGGCCUUCGGGUUGUAAAGCACUUUAGUCUAGGAGGAAGUUGCAAAGUUUAAGAGAUAUUGUAAUUGACUGUACUAGAAGAAUAAGCACCGGCUAACUCUGUGCCAGCAGCCGCGGUAAUACAGAGGGUGCGAGCGUUAAUCGGAGUUACUGGGCGUAAAGGGCGCGUAGGCGGUUGUUUAAGAUUGAUGUGAAAUCCCUGGGCUUAACCUAGGAAGUGCAUCGAUGACUGGACAGCUAGAGUAUUGUAGAGGGUGGCGGAAUUUCCGGUGUAGCGGUGAAAUGCGUAGAGAUCGGAAAGAACACCAGUGGCGAAGGCGGCCACCUGGACAAAUACUGACGCUGAGGCGCGAAAGCGUGGGGAGCAAACAGG
rnacentral:rRNA from 1 species